CCUACGGGGGGCAGCAGUGAGGAAUAUUGGUCAAUGGGCGGGAGCCUGAACCAGCCAAGUCGCGUGAGGGACGACGGUCCUAUGGAUUGUAAACCUCUUUUGUCGGGGAACAAAGGCGCCCACGGGUGGGCGGAUGAGUGUACCCGAAGAAAAAGCAUCGGCUAACUCCGUGCCAGCAGCCGCGGUAAUACGGAGGAUGCGAGCGUUAUCCGGAAUAACUGGGCGUAAAGGGAGCGUAGGUGGUUGAUUAAGUUAAAUGUGAAAGCCCAGGGCUCAACUCUGGAACUGCAUUUAAUACUGGUCGGCUAGAGUACAGGAGGGGUAAACGGAAUUUCUAGUGUAGCGGUGAAAUGCGUAGAUAUUAGGAAGAACACCGGAGGCGAAGGCGGUUUACUGGACUGCAACUGACACUGAGGCUCGAAAGCGUGGGGAGCAAACAGGAUUAGAUACCCCAGUAGUC
rnacentral:rRNA from 1 species